AUUGAACGCUGGCGGCAGGCCUAACACAUGCAGGUCGAGCGGAUGACGGGAGCUUGCUCCUUGAUUCAGCGGCGGACGGGUGAGUAAUGCCUAGGAAUCUGCCUGGUAGUGGGGGACAACGUUUCGAAAGGAACGCUAGUACCGCAUACGUCCUACGGGAGAAAGCAGGGGACCUUCGGGCCUUGCGCUAUCAGAUGAGCCUAGGUCGGAUUAGCUAGUUGGUGGGGUAAUGGCUCACCAAGGCGACGAUCCGUAACUGGUCUGAGAGGAUGAUCAGUCACACUGGAACUGAGACACGGUCCAGACUCCUACGGGAGGCAGCAGUGGGGAAUAUUGGACAAUGGGCGAAAGCCUGAUCCAGCCAUGCCGCGUGUGUGAAGAAGGUCUUCGGAUUGUAAAGCACUUUAAGUUGGGAGGAAGGGCAGUAAGCUAAUACCUUGCUGUUUUGACGUUACCGACAGAAUAAGCACCGGCUAACUCUGUGCCAGCCGCCGCAGUAACAC
rnacentral:rRNA from 1 species